rnacentral:rRNA from 1 species
GGGGAAUAUUGCGCAAUGGGGGAAACCCUGACGCAGCGACGCCGCGUGAGCGAAGAAGGCCUUAGGGUCGUAAAGCUCUGUUUUAAGGGACGAAUGUCGCGGACAGUAAUAUGGUCUGCGAAUGACGGUACCUUAAGAGGAAGCCCCGGCUAACUACGUGCCAGCAGCCGCGGUAAGACGUAGGGGGCGAGCGUUGUCCGGAAUUACUGGGCGUAAAGAGCACGUAGGCGGGACUUUAAGUCAGGUGUGAAAGACCGAGGCUCAACUUCGGGGUUGCACUUGAAACUGGAGUUCUUGAGGGCAGGAGAGGAAAGUGGAAUUCCUGGUGUAGCGGUGAAAUGCGUAGAAAUCAGGAGGAACACCGGUGGCGAAGGCGACUUUCUGGACUGACCCUGACGCUGAGGUGCGAAAGCGUGGGUAGCAAAC